CCUACGGGCGGCUGCAGUGGGGAAUAUUGGACAAUGGGGGGAACCCUGAUCCAGCCAUGCCGCGUGUGUGAAGAAGGCCCUCGGGUUGUAAAGCACUUUCAGUGAGGAAGAACGCCUGGUGGUUAAUACCCAUCAGGAAAGACAUCACUCACAGAAGAAGCACCGGCUAACUCCGUGCUAGCAGCCGCGGUAAUACGGAGGGUGCGAGCGUUAAUCGGAAUUACUGGGCGUAAAGCGCGCGUAGGUGGCUUGAUAAGCCGGUUGUGAAAGCCCCGGGCUCAACCUGGGAACGGCAUCCGGAACUGUCAAGCUAGAGUGCAGGAGAGGAAGGUAGAAUUCCCGGUGUAGCGGUGAAAUGCGUAGAGAUCGGGAGGAAUACCAGUGGCGAAGGCGGCCUUCUGGACUGACACUGACACUGAGGUGCGAAAGCGUGGGUAGCAAACAGGAUUAGAUACCCCUGUAGUC
rnacentral:rRNA from 1 species